GAAACAGGAAGCAGCUUUUUGUGCUGCUUCAAGAGUCCUUCCUCUAAGGCCCGGGGCCUGAAGGCAGUUUACAAAGGAGGACAGCUGAGAUUCAGAGAGGUUUACUAACUUGCUGAAGAUUACACAGCUCCAAAAUGGUAGAGGAAGGACUCAACUUGAAGGCCUCAGGAUCCUAAUGUCUCAGCCUUCUGGUGAACACAAGCCCAUCAGAACAGAGCUGGGCCUUCACUAGUCUGGACGAUCAGCUGCUCAGAGCCUUGCAUACAGUGGGAGGCUGAGGAAUGUUCUUUCUAGAAGAAUGUGAUGCCUCGUGCAAAGCUGGUGCUCAAAAUAUAUGAUUAUGGAUGGAUAGGUCAACAAAGACAUAAACAGCAACAACCCUGGCUGCUCGGCCCUUUUGCUCUCGUCAUUGGCUUCUUUUUCCAGAGCAUGCAUCUUCUAAUAGAGGUGCUCCAGGCUGACUCCAUACCUCCCACUGAAUGACAAUUGUUCUAAAGGUAGACAUUCUUAUUUCAUCAUCAAGAAAAGCACUCUGUAGUGAACAAGGGCACUCACGCAAUUGGAUUCAUGGAGAGAUGUUUGUUUUUCUCCCACUUGUUUACUGUUGCUGGUGUUAGAUCAAGUCUGGCCUUUACUAUUCCAUUAAAAAAUGACCAUUUGUGAUUAGAUAUUUACAAAAAUAUAUUCAGAAUGAUAUAUUUCAGAUAUUACAUUUUUUCUAACAGUUCGUUUUAGUUUUGAAUAGAAGCCUUAAAAUACUUGGCCAGGUGCGGUGGCUCACGCCUGUAAUCCCAGCACUUUGGGAGGCCGAGGCAGGCGGAUCAUGAGGUCAGGAGAUCAAGACCAUCCUGGCUAACACGGUGAAACCCUGUCUCUACUAAAAAUACAAAAAAUUAGUCGAGCGUGAUGGCGAGUGCCUGCAGUCCCAGCUACUCGGGAGGCUGAGGCAGGAGAAUGGCAUGAACCCGGGAGGAGGAGGCUGCAGUGAGGCGAGAUCGCACCACAGCACUCCAGCCUGGGUGACACAGUGAGACUCCAUUUCAUAAAUAAAUAAAUAAAUAAAUAAUUGGAAAAGUAAGAGUUAAAAAUAAAUCAUGGAAAAUCA
rnacentral:lncRNA from 1 species